rnacentral:lncRNA from 10 species
GGAACAUCCUGGCCGGGUGCAGUGGCUCACGCCUGUAAUCCUAGCACUUUGGGAGGCCAAGGUGGGCGGAUUGCCUGAGCUCAGGAGUUCGAGACCAGCCUGGGCAACACGGUGAAACCCCGUCUCUACUAAAAUACAAAAAAAUUAGUUGGGCGUGGCGAUGUAUACCUGUAGUCCCAGCUACUCAGGAUGCUGAGGCAGAAGAAUUGCUUGAACCCAGGAGGUUGAGGUUGCAGUGACGCGAGAUUGCACCACUGCACUCCAGCCUGGGUGACAGAGUGAGACUCUCUCCCAAAAAAAAAAAAAGAAAAGAAAAGAAAAGAACAUGCUAAGUGAAAGAAGCCAGAGAAAAAAAGGCAACACAUUGUAUUAUUCCAUUUAAUGAAAUAUCCAGGAUAAACAAAUCCAUAGAAAUGAAGAGCAGCUGAGGGGUUGCUGGGGCUAGGGACGGGGGGGAUAUCAGGAAUGACUGCUUCAUGGGUACAGAGUUUUCAGGUGAUGAAAUCUUCUAGAAUUAGAUAAUAGUGAUGGUUGCACAACAUUAUGAAAAUACCAAAAACCACUGAACUGUACACUUUAAAAUUGUUAAAAUGGUGAAUUUUAUAUUAUGUGACAAUUUUGUAAAAGAAUUCUAUAUCCAAUGAAAAUAUUCUUCAAGAAUGAGAGGGAAAUAAAGGCGUUCUCAAGUGAAAAAUCAAGAGAAUUUGUCAUUAGUAGACUUGUUGUAAAAUAAAUACUAAAGAAAGUUCUUCAAACGGAAGAAAGAGGAUACCUGAAAGAAAUUUAGAACAUCAAGAAUGAAGACAGAGAAACAAAAAUGGUAAAAAUCUGGUUAAAUAUAAUAGACUAUUUUUAUCUUAAAUUCUUUAUAAUAUGUAUAUGUUGGGGCUCAGAAAACAACACCUCAAAAGUAUGGCGCUUUGGUAUGCUGAACACUUUGAACUAAAAUAGAAAGGACUUAGAAGCUACCUCAGAAUAAGGCCUUUCUGGCCUCAUCUGUUUCUAUCGCCUAGAGACUUCUAGAGACUUCUGGAGUCUCUAUCCCCCUAGAGACUUCCCCUAGAAUUUCCUUAUCUGACUAAGGAAACUUCUUUCCAAAAGAAAUGCAAUUGUCUUAAGAUCCCCUUCCUAGGAAUCUCAUCAAAUAAUCAGAAAAGAUUAACCACCAGAGAAGAAUGGAGACUAAAGUCAGAUGACUCUUCAUCUAGUCCUCUGAGGCAGUGCCAAGAGAUAACCUGGGAGGCUUUAUCUACCAGGUUAAGUUUCACCCCUCACCUUCCGGUAACUUGCUGGCGUCGUUUAGUUUCCUAGGAGAAUCAUUUACAAGAUAAUGUCUGAGCCUCCUGGGCCCAUUCAUUUCCCCUAAAAAUCAUUAACAACCCCUGCAUUUUCCCCAUCUCCCUCUUCCCUAUGAAGCAGAUAUAUAAGCCUCAAUCAUCUGGCCCUUUGGGUCUCAUAUUU